UACGGAGGGUGCAAGCGUUGUUCGGAAUCAUUGGGCGUAAAGCGCGCGCAGGUGGCUGGCUAAGUCUGGUGUGAAAGCCCGGGGCUCAACCCCGGAACUGCAUUGGAAACUGGUCAGCUUGAGUUCGAGAGGGGUUAGUGGAAUUCCUGGUGUAGGGGUGAAAUCCGUAGAGAUCAGGAGGAACACCAGUGGCGAAGGCGACUGACUGGAUCGAUACUGACACUGAGGCGCGAAAGUGUGGGGAGCAAACAGG
rnacentral:misc_RNA from 1 species